UAUUCCUACGGGGCGCAGCAGUGGGGGAUAUUGCACAAUGGGGGAAACCCUGAUGCAGCGACGCCGCGUGUGGGAAGACGGUCCUCUGGAUUGUAAACCACUGUCCCCAGGGACGAAGAUGACGGUACCUGGGGAGGAAGCUCCGGCUAACUACGUGCCUGCAGCCGCGGUAAUACGUAGGGGGCGAGCGUUGUCCGGAAUUACUGGGUGUAAAGGGAGCGUAGGCGGGG
rnacentral:rRNA from 1 species